rnacentral:rRNA from 1 species
CAGUCGCCACGGGAAUACAGAGGGUGCGAGCGUUAAUCGGAUUUACUGGGCGUAAAGCGUGCGUAGGCGGCUUCUUAAGUCGGAUGUGAAAUCCCUGAGCUUAACUUAGGAAUUGCAUUCUAUACUGGGAAGCUAGAGUAUGGGAGAGGAUGGUAGAAUUCCAGGUGUAGCGGUGAAAUGCGUAGAGAUCUGGAGGAAUACCGAUGGCGAAGGCAGCCAUCUGGCCUAAUACUGACGCUUAGGUACGAAAGCAUGGGGAGCAAACAGGAUUAGAUACCCCGGUAGUCCCUGUCUCUUAUAA